UACGUAGGGCGCAAGCGUUGUCCGGAAUUAUUGGGCGUAAAGAGCUCGUAGGCGGCUUGUCACGUCGGGUGUGAAAGCCCGGGGCUUAACCCCGGGUCUGCAUUCGAUACGGGCUAGCUAGAGUGUGGUAGGGGAGAUCGGAAUUCCAGGUGUAGCGGUGAAAUGCGUAGAUAUCUGGAGGAACACCGGUGGCGAAGGCGGCAUCCUGGACCGGCAUUGACGCUGAGGCGCGAAAGCCAGGGGAGCAAACGGG
rnacentral:rRNA from 1 species